UACGGGGGGAGCAAGCGUUGUUCGGAAUUACUGGGCGUAAAGCGUGCGCAGGCGGUUUGUUAAGUCUGUUGUGAAAUCCCCGAGCUCAACUUGGGAAUUGCAAUGGAUACUGGCAGGCUGGAGUAUGGUAGAGGAAGGUGGAAUUCCCGGCGUAGCAGUGAAAUGCGUAGAGAUCGGGAGGAACACCAGUGGCGAAGGCGGCCUUCUGGACCAGCACUGACACUCAAGCACGAAAGCGUGGGGAGCAAACAGG
rnacentral:rRNA from 1 species